AACGAACGCUGGCGGCGCGUCUUAAACAUGCAAGUCGAACGAUCUGUAGCAAUACAGGGAGUGGCGGACGGGUGAGGAACACGUAGGAAUCUACCUAGAAGAGCGGGACAACUUUGGGAAACCGGGGCUAAUACCGCAUAGUACAGAGAUGUUAAAGGGCUAGCAAUAGUCGCUUCUAGAUGAGCCUGCGGUCUAUCAGCUUGUUGGUGAGGUAAUGGCUCACCAAGGCAGCGACGGAUAGCCGGUCUGAGAGGAUGAUCGGCCACACUGGCACUGAGACACGGGCCAGACUCCUACGGGAGGCAGCAGUUAAGAAUCUUGCGCAAUGGGGAAACCCUGACGCAGCGACGCCGCGUGAAGGAUGAAGGCUUUCGGGUUGUAAACUUCGGUAGACUGGGAAGAAGAACUACGUUCGUUGAGGGCGUAGAGUGACGGUACCAGUCUGAAGCCCCGGCUAAUUACGUGCCAGCAGCCGCGGUAAU
rnacentral:rRNA from 1 species